AUUGAACGCUGGCGGCAUGCCUUACACAUGCAAGUCGAACGGUAACAGGUCUUCGGAUGCUGACGAGUGGCGAACGGGUGAGUAAUACAUCGGAACGUGCCUAGUAGUGGGGGAUAACUACUCGAAAGAGUGGCUAAUACCGCAUGAGAUCUACGGAUGAAAGCAGGGGAUCGCAAGACCUUGUGCUACUAGAGCGGCCGUUGGCAGAUUAGGUAGUUGGUGGGAUAAAAGCUUACCAAGCCGACGAUCUGUAGCUGGUCUGAGCGGACGAUCAGCCACACUGGGACUGAGACACGGCCCAGACUCCUACGGGAGGCAGCAGUGGGGAAUUUUGGACAAUGGGCGAAAGCCUGAUUCAGCAAUGCCGCGUGCAGGAUGAAGGCCUUCGGGUUGUAAACUGCUUUUGUACGGAACGAAAAGCCCCGGGUUAAUACCCUGGGGUCAUGACGGUACCGUAAGAAUAAGCACCGGCUAACUACGUGCCAGCCGCCGCGGUAA
rnacentral:rRNA from 1 species